rnacentral:rRNA from 1 species
AGCAGCCGCGGUAAUUCCAGCUCCAAUAGCGUAUAUUAAAGUUGUUGCAGUUAAAAAGCUCGUAGUUGAAUUUCGGGGUCAGUGGGUUGGUCGUGCCACUGGUAUGUACUGGCCCUACUGAUUCCUCCUUCUUGAAGAACUGUAAUGCCAUUAAUUUGGUGUUGCAGGGAAACAGGACUGUUACUUUGAAAAAAUUAGAGUGUUUAAAGCAGGCAAUCGCUUGAAUACAUUAGCAUGGAA